rnacentral:lncRNA from 1 species
GGAAAGAAACCUGGAAAGUACCCUUGGCUGUGUACAUUUGAGUAAAGAGAGCACUAUAAAAUCAAAAACCAAUGAAAUGGUUUCCAGAACACAGAACUAUUAAGCUUAAGAAAAGGACAGAAGGAACUGAAGAGAGAGGAACUGUUUUGGAGCAUCACACUUCCACCUCAGAAGAAAUAAGGAAGGAAGGAGGAGGGUGUUCCCACGGCUCUUCAACCAGGCCGGCUCUUCAGCCUACAUCCCCAUCUCAUCAAGUAAAAGGGAUUUUUCAACUGGACCAACCAGAUGGUUUAACAGUGCACUCCCACACCAUUCAACUACGCAAGGGAGAUACACUUAACAUAUGCAGUCGUAUAACACCUACUAACAUUUUCAAACAUUAAACCUUUAAAAAAGAGUUCUAAAGAAAUAGAAGCUUGAAGUAUCAUCUCUCAAGUAUAUAGACACUACUUCAUGGUGUGGUAAUAUAUGCAUAUAGAAGCUAGUAAACACCUCCAGGAGAUGCAAAAGGAAUUAGAACUGCCACAAGGUGCAAGCAAAACCUUGAGCUUCUUUAAAAUAUGAAGACUUCGAAGUUAUUUAUCCAAACCAACCUGAUCAUUUCUUAAGAGUGAAUAUACCUUGGAAGACGUGUCCUGCCUUUAGUAGCGUCACAAUGGAUUACAUCCUCUAUAAAGCAGUCUGGGAUAUUCUGCCCAAUCAGAGGCUAACAUCUGCCACAAGACAAAUAUGGUGCCUGCCCCCAUGGAGCUCAUAUUCGAAUGGAGAAAAUGUCAACAAGUAUCCCACGGAGUGAACACUUCAAAAGGAGAAGCACAGGUGAGAAAAUCGAAUUUGGACACCGUUGAGGAGACUAUUGCAGUCAUCCAAGCUCAAGAUGGUGGAGCUUCAUCCUUGAGAAUAACCAAUGGGGAUAGAUUUAAGAGACACUUAGAGUCUGCAGCCAACAGGGCUGAAUGAGCAUUCUGUUUUUCCUCUUCUAAUCCUUCACCCAUCUGAGCUAAAGUCUAGACCUAAGGAGGCUACUAAUUCAGGGAUCGAGUAAUCUGCCAAGCAAGAGUUUAUUCAAGCACAGUUUGAAAUAAAGGUUUCAAAUGCA